rnacentral:rRNA from 1 species
UACGAAGGGGGCUAGCGUUGCUCGGAAUCACUGGGCGUAAAGCGCACGUAGGCGGACUCUUAAGUCGGUGGUGAAAUCCUGGAGCUCAACUCCAGAACUGCCUUCGAUACUGAGAGUCUUGAGUCCGGGAGAGGUGAGUGGAACUGCGAGUGUAGAGGUGAAAUUCGUAGAUAUUCGCAAGAACACCAGUGGCGAAGGCGGCUCACUGGCCCGGUACUGACGCUGGAGGU